rnacentral:rRNA from 1 species
UACGUAGGGGGCAAGCGUGGUCCGGAUUUAUUGGGCGUAAAGAGCGUGUAGGCGGCCAGGUAGGUCUGCUGUGAAAACUCGAGGCUUAACCUCGAGCUGUCGGCGGAAACCAUCUGGCUAGAGUCCGGAAGAGGAGAAUGGAAUUCCCGGUGUAGCGGUGAAAUGCGCAGAUAUCGGGAAGAACACCCGUGGCGAAGGCGGUUCUCUGGGACGGUACUGACGCUGAGACGCGAAAGCGUGGGGAGCGAACAGG